UGGGGAAUCUUCCGCAAUGGACGAAAGUCUGACGGAGCAACGCCGCGUGAGUGAUGACGGCCUUCGGGUUGUAAAGCUCUGUUAAUCGGGACGAAUGGCUACCAUGCGAAUAGUUUGGCAGUUUGACGGUACCGGAAUAGAAAGCCACGGCUAACUACGUGCCAGCAGCCGCGGUAAUACGUAGGUGGCAAGCGUUGUCCGGAAUUAUUGGGCGUAAAGCGCGCGCAGGCGGAUCUGCCAGUCUGUCUUAAAAGUUCGGGGCUCAACCCCGUGAUGGGAUGGAAACUACAGAUCUAGAGUAUCGGAGGGGAAAGUGGAAUUCCUAGUGUAGCGGUGAAAUGCGUAGAUAUUAGGAAGAACACCAGUGGCGAAGGCGGCCUUCUGGGCCAUAACUGACGCUGAGGAGCGAAAGCUAGGGGAGCAAACAGGAUUAGAUACCCUGGUAGUCCUAGCCGUAAACGAUGGACACUAGGUGUGGGGGAAUAUUUCUUCCGUGCCGCAGCUAACGCAUUAAGUGUCCCGCCUGGGGAGUACGGCCGCAAGGC
rnacentral:rRNA from 1 species